rnacentral:rRNA from 1 species
AUGUCAACAUCAGAGAACACCACCGCCCAAACAGAGUCCGAAAGGCCGAUAGCUCUGAAGAGGAAAUCCAAUGAUGUUGGAUGGAACUAUGGGAAACUAUGUGAUGUCACAAACAAGGAGAGGGUGAAGUGUGACUUUUGUGGCCAUAUUAGCACCGGAGGAAUUAACCGUUUCAAGCUACACAUCACAGGCACCACCUCAAGCGUUCUUUCAUGUUUAAGAUCAACUCCGGAGGCUAAAGCAAUAUGCCAGAGAGCUCUUGAUGCAUAUGAGGCAAAGAAGGUGGCGAAGAAAAAACAUACGACAGAAGUGAGGGCUGAUGUGCAUGUUACAGCCCUAAAUGAAGCAAGGGAUGGUAGGGAAUCUGUUUGUGUUGGAAGCACAUCAUCGGAGCCCAACAAAUUAGGACCAAUGGACAAGUUUGUGCGUCCUAUUGAUGGUAAAUCAAGCAAAGAGGAAGCCUUGAAGCAGCUAAGUAUGAAUGAAGCACUAUUCAAGGAGAGAAGAGGUCAAUGUUCACCAUAUGUUGCUAGAUGGGUGUAUUCACAUGGUAAUUCUGGAGUCCUUCAUUUCUUUGCUUGCUUGUGCUUGAAAUGA